AGGGAUAUUGGUCAAUGGACGCAAGUCUGAACCAGCCAUGCCGCGUGAAGGAUGAAGGUCCUCUGGAUUGUAAACUUCUUUUAUCUGAGACGAAAACGGGAUUUUUAUCUCAAUUGACGGUACCAGAGGAAUAAGCACCGGCUAACUCCGUGCCAGCAGCCGCGGUAAUACGGAGGGUGCGAGCGUUAUCCGGAUUUACUGGGCGUAAAGGGCGCGUAGGCGGCGCGGUAAGUCACUUGUGAAAUCUCUGAGCUUAACUCAGAACGGCCAAGUGAUACUGCUGUGCUAGAGUGCGGAAGAGGCAACCGGAAUUCUUGGUGUAGCGGUGAAAUGCGUAGAUAUCAAGAGGAACACCUGAGGCGAAGGCGGGUUGCUGGGCCGACACUGACGCUGAUGCGCGAAAGCCAGGGGAGCAAACG
rnacentral:rRNA from 1 species